rnacentral:rRNA from 1 species
AAUGAACGUUGGCGGCGUGGAUUAGGCAUGCAAGUCGUACGAGAAUCGUAGCAAUACGAGGAAAGUGGCGGAAGGGAGAGGAUUACGUGGGAAUUACCCUCAGAACUGGGAUAGCGGCGGGAAACUGCCGGUAAUACCAGAUAAUGUCUUCGGACCAAAGGUGUGAUUCCGUCUGGGGAUGAGCCCACGUCCUAUUAGCUAGUUGGUAGGGUAAUGGCCUACCAAGGCAAUGAUGGGUAGCGGGUGUGAGAGCACGACCCGCCUCACUGGGACUGAGAACUGCCCAGACACCUACGGGUGGCUGCAGUCGAGAAUCUUCGGCAAUGAGCGCAAGCUUGACCGAGCGACGCCGCGUGCGGGAUGAAGGCCUUCGGGUUGUAAACCGCUGUCGUAGGGGAGCAAGAGAUGAGGGUACUCCCUCAAAUUUGAGCGAUCCUAGGAGGAAGGACGGGCUAAGUUCGUG